rnacentral:rRNA from 1 species
AUUGAACGCUGGCGGCAGGCCUAACACAUGCAAGUCGAGCGAGCGGCGGACGGGUGAGUGAUGUCUGUGAAACUGCCUGAUGGGGGGGGGUAACUCCUGGAAACGGUAGCUAAUACCGCAUACCAUCAGAUGUGCCCAGAUGGGGUUAGCGUGUAGGUGGGGUAACGGCUCACCUAGGCGACGAUCCCUAGCUGGUCUGAGAGGAUGACCAGCCACACUGGAACUGAGACACGGUCCAGACUCCUACGGGAGGCAGCAGUGGGGAAUAUUGCACAAUGGGCGCAAGCCUGAUGCAGCCAUGCCGCGUGUGUGAAGAAGGCCUUCGGGUUGUAAAGUACUUUCAGCGGGGAGGCGUUACCCGCAGAAGAAGCACCGGCUAACUCCGUGCCAGCAGCCGCGGUAAUUC